rnacentral:rRNA from 1 species
GUAAACCUGCCUAAAUGCCCAAAAAGUAUCAGAUCUCCUCUGAUCUUGGAAGUGACGCAUCGUCAGGCUUGGUUAGUACUUGGAUGGGAGACCACCAAUGAAUACCAGGUGCUGUAGAUU